GCGUUAAUCGGAAUUACUGGGCGUAAAGCGUGCGCAGGCGGUUAUGUAAGACAGAUGUGAAAUGCCCGGGCUUAACCUGGGAACUGCAUUUGUGACUGCAUGGCUAGAGUGUGUCAGAGGGGGGUAGAAUUCCACGUGUAGCAGUGAAAUGCGUAGAGAUGUGGAGGAAUACCGAUGGCGAAGGCAGCCCCCUGGGAUAACACUGACGCUCAUGCACGAAAGCGUG
rnacentral:rRNA from 1 species